AUUCGCAUCACUUUUAAUGGUUUUUUAAAUUACACUAAAAAUUAAAAGGGAAUUUGGUGAAACUCCAAAACUGUUCCCGCAACUGUAAAAUUUAUAAAAACAGCAUUUAAAAUACCACUGUAACUAAAGUUAUGGGAAGGUUAAUGCUUGUUGAAUUAAGUCAGGAGACCUGCCAUUUAAAGCUAAAUAUU
rnacentral:ncRNA from 2 species